GAUCAGCAGGAGCAGGCUCUCAACAAACCGGCCCUUUGCUUCAGCUUCCCAUACUCAUGUGAGCUAAUAGCUAUUUUUUUUUGUUAUAUCUCAUCUUGCAAGUUGAAAUAAGCUUGUGAAUUGAAAACGCCACAUGUCUUUUGUAAUGACAUGGUUUCCUUCCUCGUUUUUCUUCUAACGAAUACUAUCGCAGGGUGCGUGCCGGCAUGGAUGUGGAGCAACCAGAUGUGAGAGAAGCACAUAUAUGCUUACAGUGAGUUAUACAUCGUUCCCGUAAGAAAAUAAGGCAUGCUUAUUACAGCAUGAAUCUGCUAUGUCACUAUGUGUGUGUAAUUUUUCUUGUUCAAGUUGAUGACCUGCGCCAAUGUUGUGUUGUGUUGUGUGUGGACCGGGGUGGUAGCUCCAAUGCCACUAGUAGCAGGACGCAUAUGAGAUAAUAACAUGUGUAUGUAUGGCAAAAUUUGAAUAGCCUUUCGGCCGGAGCGAAGGUGUGUGACCAUGACAAAAUUUGAAUUGCCUUUCGGCCGGAGCGAAGGUGUGUGACCAUGAAUGAUACCGGUAAGAGAUAAUUUUCAGCAGCGACACACAAAUUUUCUCCCGCA
rnacentral:lncRNA from 1 species